UACAGAGGUCCCAAGCGUUGUUCGGAUUCACUGGGCGUAAAGGGUGCGUAGGUGGUGGGGUGAGUUUGAUGUGAAAGCUCCGGGCUUAACCCGGAAAUGGCAUUGAAUACUAUCUCGCUUGAGGGUUGGAGGGGAGACUGGAAUUCUUGGUGUAGCAGUGAAAUGCGUAGAUAUCAAGAGGAAUACCAAAGGCGAAGGCAGGUCACUGGGCAGUUACUGACACUGAGGCACGAAGGCUAGGGGAGCAAACGGG
rnacentral:rRNA from 1 species